UACGUAGGGCGCAAGCGUUGUCCGGAAUUAUUGGGCGUAAAGAGCUCGUAGGUGGCGUGUCGCGUCUGCCGUGAAAGCCCAUGGCUUAACUGUGGGUCUGCGGUGGAUACGGGCAGGCUGGAGGCUGGUAGGGGCAAGCGGAAUUCCUGGUGUAGCGGUGAAAUGCGCAGAUAUCAGGAGGAACACCUGCGGCGAAGGCGGGUUGCUGGGCUGACACUGACGCUGAGGAGCGAAAGCGUGGGGAGCGAACAGG
rnacentral:rRNA from 1 species